ACCUCACCUUGCCACCACACGCCCCCGCGCGCCACCUGCACCACGCCGCACGCCCUGGCCGCACCGCCGCCCACUUGCCGCCCGGACCACCUCAGGGUCACAGAGGCCGUGCGGGAAGCCUAGGAACGCCCCGUGAGUGAAUCCCCGCCGCACGAAAGGCUGAGACACGCGGACGAUCGCUAGUGAAAACCAUUUUGACAUCUGAUCCGGCAGCGAGCGAGGGUCAGUUAUGGCGGUGAAGGUGGCGGAGUGGGGACGUGUUGCGAUGGCCUCUCCGGGAUUGUGUUGAUCUGGCCGACCUGCACGCCGGGGGGCCUUCCUGCACCACGUCCGACGCCUUGCCAAGAAGCAGCAUGCAGCAGAGGCCCCCGAGCUGCUAGUGUCCCCAUGCAAAGGAUGGCGAGUGCGUACCCUGGCGGGCUGGGCGGCCCCAAGGAGACGCUGGAUGGCCUGGGUCCCGCAGGGCUGGGUGGGCUUGGUGGCGGCGGGCUGGGCGGGCUUGGCGUGGCGUCAUCGCUGGGCGGGGGUACAGACGCCCUUGGUCUGGGCACCUGCCCCCUAUGCCGCUGCCUGCUGGAGGAGGCGCGGGUGCUGCCGUGCCUUCACGCCGUGUGUGGCCCCUGCCUGGAGGGUCUGUUGGCAGCCCCCACGCUGGCCUGUCCAACCUGCCACGCCGAGCUGAACCUGGACCAGCCGCUUGACGCCCUCAACCCGCCGCUCUUCUUGCCCUCCAUCUUGGACAUGGUGUCCUCCGAGGACGACUUGGGCAGCCCGCCCCCCCCACCCUCUUCCAUGCUGAGCCCACCCCCUGCCUCUUCCAUGGUGAGCCCCUCCAACUCCCACGUGAACAGCCGUGACCAUCUGCUGCCACGCCCGCUGCUACACGGCGACCUGCCCCGUCCUUCCAGAUACCUGUGUGCCAGCUGUGACGACGGUCAGGCUGCCGCCUCCCGCUGCAGGGACUGCAAUGAGGCGCUCUGUGAGUCCUGCGUGCGUGCACACCAGCGCGUGCGGCUCACCAAGGACCACUUCAUCGUGCCCCUGCCUGGAGACGACUCGGGCGUGUGCAACACAAACGGCGGCAGCGCGCGGGUGCACCACUACUCAGGGCCCGAUGAGAACAGCCACCCACACCUGGGCCUGGCCUCACCACCCCCACCCUCAGCACUGGGUGGCAGUGCCACGAGCCUGGGUGGUGGAGCCACAGGCCUGGGUGGCGGCGCUACGGCCUUGGGUGGUGGAGCCACGGCUUUAGGUGGUGGAGCCUCAGCUUUGGGGGCAGGUGCCACAGCCUUGGGAGGCGGAGCCACAGCCCUGAGUGGUGGCGCCUCAGCCCUGGGUGGUGGUGGCGCGGCGCAACAUGGGUCUGGACACCUGUUCUGCCCCAGCCAUGAGGGUGAGGCCAUGAUGUACUACUGUGAGCGGUGCAGUGCCCCUGUAUGCCGGGAGUGCACGGUGCGGGAGCAUCGUGGCCAUGGCUGUGUGUUUUUGCAGGAUGCCGCUGAGAAUUCCCGCUCCAUCACACUGCAGCUGUUGACGGAUGCCCGCAGCGGUAUCCGGGCCAUCGAGGACAGCAUUGGCGUCACUAAGCGCAUGGUGGACCGUGUGGAGCUGCGUGCCAAGGCUGUGGCCAGCGACGUGCGCUCCACCACACGGCGCCACAUCUCUGCUCUGGAGGAUCGCGAGAGGAAGCUGCUGAGCAAGGUGGAACGGAUCCGCCAGGUGAAGGGCAAGACUCUGCAGGACCAGAUUGAUGACCUGAGCACCGCACUAGCCCGCCUCACCCACGCCGUGGAGACCAUCAGCUCUGUGGACUCCGCUGGCCAUAUGGAACUGCUGCAGCGGCGCGAGAAGGUGCUCGCUGAGAUGAACGAGUUGCGGCAGAUCAAGGCACACCUCAGCCCACAUGAGGACGACAACAUCACCUUCUCGCCGCCAGACACAGGCCUGUACCAGAUGCUUAAUACCAUGGGCUUUGUGUCUUCCUCAGCCCACGCUGCACACACCGUGGCCAGCGGCCCCGGCCUGAAGCGCGCAGCACGGGGCAGGGUGUCUUCCUUUGUGGUGCACUGCAAGGACCACCUGGCAGACCAGCGCGUGGUGGGCGGCGACCCUGUGACAGUAACGGUGGUGGGCCCAGACGGCAGCACGGCACCGGCCGAGGUGCAGGACCAGAAGAGCGGAUCCUACAUGGUGAGCUACAAGCCGCAGACUGAAGGGCGCCACUCGGUGAGUGUGAUGCUGCGUGGCCUGCACAUCCAGGGGUCGCCCUUCUCAGUGCCAGUGCGUGCCGGCCGCAGCUACUCUUCUGUAGGCCAGGUGCUCUUCACCAUUGGCAGUGAGGGCGAGGGUGACGGGCAGCUGUGCCGGCCGUGGGGUGUGUGCUGCAACAAGGAGGGCUACAUCAUCGUGGCGGACCGCAGCAACAAUCGCGUGCAGGUGUUCACGCCUGACGGCAGCUUCCAUCACUCCUUUGGCUCGGCAGGGUCGCGGGCCGGCCAGUUUGACCGGCCUGCGGGCGUGGCAGCAGACACCAUGGGCCGCAUCAUCGUGGCUGACAAGGACAACCACCGCAUCCAGGUGUUUACCUUUGAAGGCACAUUUUUGUUCAAGUUUGGUGAGAAGGGCAGCAAGAAUGGCCAGUUCAAUUACCCAUGGGACGUGUCCACCAACGGCGAGGGUGACAUCGCGGUGUCCGACACACGCAACCAUCGCAUCCAGCUGUUUCGUGCAGAUGGCUCCUUUGCCAACAAGUACGGCUUUGAGGGCUCCCUGUGGAAGCACUUUGACUCCCCGCGUGGCGUGUGCUUCACUCAAGAAAACCACAUCGUGGUCACUGAUUUCAACAACCACCGCCUGCUGGUGGUCCACCCAGACUUCCAGUCCGCCAGGUUCCUGGGCAACGAGGGAGUGUCCGAGGGCCAGUUCCUGCGGCCGCAGGGCGUGGCUGUAGACCAGGUGGGCCACAUCGUGGUGGCAGACUCCCGAAAUCACCGCAUUCAGAUCUUUCAUCCAAACGGUGGGUUCAUGUACAAGUUUGGAGUGCCAGGGUCAGCGCCGGGCCAGCUGGACCGGCCCAGCGGCAUCUGUGUGUCACCCUCGGGACUCAUUGUGGUGGUGGACUUUGGCAACAACCGGGUCCAGGUGUUCUAGGGCGCUGCAGCCGCCCACACCAAAAGUGUCUUCAUUACAAGUUCCAGAGUACAAAUCAAUGAAACCUCGUACAAAUUUUGCAGGUAUUUUGUUCACGUGAAGGCUCGCAGCGCGAUGCCUGGCGGCCUGUUGGCGUCACCGCCACUACCUCAUUGUUGGAGAUAUGAUACAGGGUAUAUUUUAAUUAUCUGAGCCGCCAUGUAUUUGUACAUAGAGCUUUCAUCAGAGCUGUGGACAGGUCAGUCUGCUUUGAUGUGACCAUGGGGCAGCACAAUGCCCUACCCUACACAGGGAGGCUUGGUGCUGCUGAGGUCUGAGUGUCUGUGUGUGUGUUGUGUUUGUGUUUGUGUGUUUGUGCAUGGAUGAGUGGGAUGUCCCCACAGGAUGAGGAGCAGAGGAGUGUGUGCAUGUGUGUGUGUGUUGGGACCUGCUGCACAGUGCAGGGCAGCAACAGUGCAUUGGUUUCAGUAUAAAUGCUGUGUGAGUGUUGUGUGUGUGAACAAGCAGCCCGGCAGUGCUGCCACUCCUUUGCACCGGCCCUGUGGGGUCACGGCAGCAAAACUUUUAUGCCCUGCUUGCCUGGAGGCGAGACCGCAGUACAAUCAUGGUGAGGCCAACGGGGCUGUCGGGCGGGGUGUGGCUACUGUGGCAUGCGUCUGGUAGUCUCUCUCUCCGCCCCACACCUCCCUCGGCCUCUCCACUACCUCAUGUUUAGGGUUAAGGAGUAAUUACUCUAGCCUUGUUGCUUUGAUGACAAAUCUAUUCCCCGUCCUGGCUGGUGCUGUGGUGUUGUGGUGCUGCGGCGCACUGGGGAGGACUCUGUCUGGCAGCUUGGGCAGCGCUGGCCGCCAGUAUUGGGAUGGGUCUGCAUGCGCUGGGGUCCAGACUUGGGGGGUUUAUUAGUGCUUCUCGGUAGGAAGAGAGCGUCACGACGUGACAAUAAUCAACACUUGAGUGCAAGGCAGCGGCCAACCUUGGUGCCUCACUCCGGGGCGGCGGCCCAACUGGUGCAGGGAGGGUAGUGGGUGGUGGGUGCCGUGGGGCCCGUCUCAAAGUUCCUCUUUAGUUAGUAUGGGUGGGCCGCGGGUCCUGGGCUGGGUGGCAGGAGUGGCGGGGUGCCGCCUGCGGGUGUAGGAGGGUGUGGUGGGGGGGAGGGGACGGCCGCUGCCACCUUUCAUCUGUCACUGGGAUAUCACUGUGGUUUUAACUUUUAAACUCUAAAAGACUCAAGAAUCAGUUUAUAUCCUUAAAUGAACCAUAGGUUUGUUACGUAUUUUAAGAUAAAUAAAUUGUGCUUCCAGUACACUCAGAUUUUUAAAUAUAAUUUUAGCAAAGCUUAAAUAUAAUUGAUUUAAAAAGAUAGCUAUAAACUCAUGAAGUAUUUAAUCACAAACUGACACUUUAUAGUAUAGUCAUGUACAACAUUUACUUACUUCAGGUUUUAAAAGUGCUUUACCAAACACAAAUUUGUUUAAUUUGGGAAAAUGAGAUUAGCUCCCACUUGAGUCAUGUUCUCCCAGUGUACCUGAGACCCGUGUCCUGCAGACAGGUGACCUGGGCAGGUGACAAUCACCACCCACUUGUCUAAAAAUGUAACAGAGUAAUACUAUUGUGUGUAGAGCCUCAGAGGGGCAGUGCAGCUCCUCACCGGCGGGGCGUGUGACGUGGGGGGAGGGUGACCUCUCCCUGUGGGGAAAGGAGCAGGACGGAUGCCAAGGUUUACAAUUCUUAUUUUACUGAAAAUGUUUGUGCCGAGUCUUUAGUCAAUCAAGAAGACAGCAGCAGCAGCAGCGGCGGCGGCUGCAGCGGUGGCUUUGUCCCGAGAGUUGCUGUGGGAAAGAAGGAAGGAAGGAAGGAAGGUUGGGUCUGUUGUCUCAGUUGUUUGAUGUCUUGGUUGUGCCGACAGAGUUGGUGUUUUUAUUAUUUUUACUUUUGUCUUUGUGAAGGAGGGUGUCCAAUGGCCACUAGGAAGUGUCUGAGGGAGGCCUGGGCAGCUGGGGGUGUGUUACCAGAUCUCAGUGGAAGGCCGCAGGAAUCUAGCUACCUCUUCAGUAUUGUAGACUAAUGCAGGGAGUCACCUUGUUCCUCAGUAUUCUCAAGUGAAUUCCCAAGCUACCUACCUCACAACCACUACCUAACUACCUCAAAUAGUAUAGAACUACUACUACCUCACAAAUAGUACAUAGCAAGCAAACUACUACCUCACUGGCUGGCCUACACAGACUUGCCUGUCCACCAGAGGGUCAGCAGAUGACUCGGGAAGGUUCACAGCGUGGCGAUGGACGGCCACGAGCACGUCUGUUUUCCUAUUGUACCAGUCUGCCUCGGCAGGGACUGGGAGUUAGGUUAAGUACUUAGAGACAGACACUUCACUGUCCACUUGUAUGUUAAGCAUUGAUAUUUUACUUAUGGGUAUUGUGUCUGUUUAUGUGCAGGUCUGCAUGGUGUGCAUGUGUGCAGACACGUGUGUGUUUUUAUGGCAGUUUGAGAGGAAACAUACGGGUUUUAGGAGCGUCCAGCGUGCCACGCCAUGCUGCGCCGCAGGAAGCGCCGCCACCACCCUCCCUCCAGGAUUUUGUGAUAUUAUUCCUGCUCAACACCUGGUGGGUGGAGCAGGAUAUGGAGGACGGCGGGCGCUGCGGCGUGGCAGAGUGGCCGUGGUGUUGUGUCACUGUAUCUGAGUAAAUGACAGACUUAUCUUGUGUCUAGGAAGAUUUAAAUGUGUCUGCAGUACAUGGUGUGCUUUUAUGACUGGCAGCUGGACACCAGCAUGUCACAGUGGACACAAGUGAAAGCCUUGGCUGGGCUGCCAGUCAGGCGUGGAGACUCCACCAUGCCAGACUGGAGGAGUGGGAGUUACAUAUAAGUUAUACAUACUAGAGUAGAGUGAGCAAAGUGUUGCUGGACAACAGGACCUGCAAGUGUUGUGUUCUGAUCAAUGUACUUUUCAUGAAAAGUUUUCAUUCCUCAAAAAAUUGUAAAGUAUUACUCAUGUUGUCCUGUGUGUGACAACACUGCUGCUGCUGCUGCCACUGCCAGCUCUACCACCACCACAUCCUAGAUGUGGUUUGUCUUUACAGCAACAUUAUUUUGUAGAGAGACCAGUUUCUUUCAAGCAGAAUACUAAAAAAGUGGAUCAGUGUAAACCACCUGUGAAGCUGCACUGUGGUGGUGGUGGUGGCAGGGACAACUGAAGGCAGCUGUGGCAGCAGCACCAUAUCACACCACUACACAGGGGAGACCUGCAUUUGGUGGUGGUGGUGGUGGUGGUGAUGGUGGAUUGAUGCCCACACACUUGUGGCCACAGUAAAUAUUUGCUCAAACCUCAGCUAGUGUUGUGUGAGAGGCUGUGGCUGUGGUGAGCCUUAAGGCUUCUUGGGUGACAUUCAGGCUGGAAGCAGCAAAUGUUACAGGCUCUAUAUUGUUCCUAUGAAGAGUUUAUAAUAUAAUGUUGGUUUCAGUGGAAUAGGAUUUUAUCUAGAGUGUAGUUACAUUUCAGGGCCAAUGGUGCUUGUCCAGAAGAUCAUUUAUGUCUGUACUUGUAAUGAAAUGAUUCAGGAAUGUGUACUGCUGUGCAACACACUGGAUCUUGUUCAGUUUUGAAUAUUGCCUGAUAAGCAUUAAGGCUGUGUGUGUGUGUGUGUGUGUGUGUGUGUGUGUGUGUGUGUGUGUGUGUGUGUGUGUGUGUGUGUGUGUGUGUGUGUGUGUGUGUGUGUGUGUGUGUGU
rnacentral:misc_RNA from 1 species